AACGGCCAUACCAUGCUGAAUAUACCGGUUCUCGUUUCGAUCACCGAAGUCAUAUUUCAGUACUAUGGGUGGGUGACCACCUGGGAACACCGCGUGCCGUU